AUUGAACGCUGGCGGCAGGCCUAACACAUGCAAGUCGAGCGGAUGGUGGGAGCUUGCUCCUUGAUUCAGCGGCGGACGGGUGAGUAAUGCCUAGGAAUCUGCCUGGUAGUGGGGGACAACGUUUCGAAAGGAACGCUAAUACCGCAUACGUCCUACGGGAGAAAGCAGGGGACCUUCGGGCCUUGCGCUAUCAGAUGAGCCUAGGUCGGAUUAGCUUGUUGGUGAGGUAAUGGCUCACCAAGGCGACGAUCCGUAACUGGUCUGAGAGGAUGAUCAGUCACACUGGAACUGAGACACGGUCCAGACUCCUACGGGAGGCAGCAGUGGGGAAUAUUGGACAAUGGGCGAAAGCCUGAUCCAGCCAUGCCGCGUGUGUGAAGAAGGUCUUCGGAUUGUAAAGCACUUUAAGUUGGGAGGAAGGGCAGUAAGUUAAUACCUUGCUGUUUUGACGUUACCGACAGAAUAAGCACCGGCUAACUCUGUGCCAGCCGCCGCCGUAACAC
rnacentral:rRNA from 1 species